AUGAGUUCACGUCGGGGCCUCCACCACGCCGCCGCGGCGUCGGGGGCGCUCCUCCUCUUCUCCGCCUCCGUCCUCCUCUCGGCCGUCCCGGCAGCAAGAGGCCAGCAGGAGACCGAGCGCGAGGAGGAGUUCAGCUACUCGCUGGACGCGGAGAACGGGCCGGCGCACUGGGGCCAGAUCAAGGAGGAGUGGUCGGCGUGCGGCAAAGGGGAGAUGCAGUCGCCCAUCGACCUCGCCGGCCCACGGGUCUCGCUGGUGCGCAUCCUCGGUCACCUCAACCACUCCUACGCCCCCGCCAACGCCUCCAUCAUCAACCGCGGCCACGACAUCAUGUUGAGGUUCGAGGGCGACCCCGGGAGCGUGUCCAUCGGCGGCACGGCGUACCACCUCCGGCAGCUGCACUGGCACGCGCCCACGGAGCACAGCGUCAACGGCCGCCGGUACGACAUGGAGCUGCACAUGGUGCACCAGAGCGCGCAGGGAAAGGCCGCCGUCAUCGGCGUCUUGUACGAGAUCGGCGCCCGCGACCCCUUCCUCCACAUGCUGGAGCCAUACCUGGAGAUGAUCGCCCAGCAGAGGCAGAGGGAGGAGAAGGUGGGCGUGGUGGACGCCCGGGGCGCGAGGGGCAGGGCCAGCGUGUACUACCGCUACGUGGGCUCCCUCACCACCCCGCCAUGCGCCCAAGGGGUCAUCUGGACCAUCGUCAAACGGGUUCGUACUGUGUCGCGGCACCAGCUGGAACUUCUCCGAGAGGCCGUCCACGAUGACAUGGAGAAGAACGCGAGGCCGCGUCAGGAGGUGAACAGCAGAGACAUCAGCAUCUUCCGGCCUAUCCAGCAGAACAGACAUUGA
rnacentral:rRNA from 1 species